rnacentral:lncRNA from 1 species
CUUGAUAUUUCAACAAAAUUGCGGUUGUUUUUACAAAGUUAAUUGUGAACUGGAGGCCGCAUUCUAGGGAUAGAAUAGUCCAGCUGGUUAAAUCUUGCUGGAGCAACAAUAAUAUCUCUUUGCUGUAGUUUCCUGCUACUGAUCAUUACUUGUGCAUGAACUGAUGAACGCUGCAUGUUGUUCUUGUGUUUCUGCACCACCAAGGUAAAAAGACCAGGUGAGGGGAAAAUUUUGAAUUACACGCCGAGACUUGCGUGGUUCGCUAACGUUUAGAACUCGAUCCACAUGAUGGGUGAUUACUAAUAAUGAAAUCAGGAUGGUCGAAUAUCUUAAACAACAUUUAAAUUUUCGAGUAAGUUUGAAAGAACACCUGGGAAAAUCAAUCAUAUACACAUUAGGAAAAAAACUUCAAUUUUGAAACUUUCUAUCUAUAAGAAAAGAAUAUGAAUUACCAUUGAAUAAAUUAUAUUUGGUUCUCUCAUGAAAGCUUUAUUUUGUAUUUACUUGGGCUUUAUUUUGACACUGUAGCUUUAUUUUGAGCUCACAUAUUACCAUUUAUGGGUCUUGGGGUAUUUUCCAUUUUUCAAUUGACAUGCUUUAAAUUGUCUCGCGCUUUCAUUUUGCUAAUAUAUUUUCUAUAACAAAAAAAGUUCUAUAUAUAAAAGGAAAACAUGAAUUACUAUUGAAUUAAUAAUGUUUUAUUUUCUUAUGAGAGUUUUAUUUUGAGCUUAUUAGGGCUUUAUUUUGGUUGUAUUGGGGCUUUAUUUUGAGUUUAUAGAGCUUUAUUUCGAGCUCACAUAUUAUCUUUUUAUGGGUCUUGUGGUAUUUUCCAUUAUUCAAUUAACAUACAUUAAAUUAUUUAGCUCUUUCAUUUUGUUAAUAUAUUUCUUAUAACAAAAAAAGUUUAUCUAUCCCCACUUAUUUUUUAAAACUUUCUACAAAAUCGUCACUUUCAAACAAAGGAUACAUACUGCAUAAGUUUGUCCACCUAUCAGUUCCUCCACUAGCAAGUGGUAACUACACUUCACAGUAAGACCCAAGUGAUAGUUUAUCUAGAAGUCGAUCUCUGGCACACUGUGUGAGCUCAUGGAUCGACUAAAAGUUACCCUCGGCGAAGGAAAGGUCCAACCCACGAACCCGACCAGACCAAAACAACAACAAAAAAGAAGGUCAACAAAUUAAAAGACCACCAACCUUGUUGAUCGUGACUGAUCCAAGAUGUCGGCUACCACUGGCUGCAUGGCUGGAGAGGCACAACAUGAUGAUGACGAUGAUCAUCGGUCCUAGAGUGACCUUAAACGACAUUGCCGACAAGCCUGGGAGGUUUAAGG